rnacentral:piRNA from 1 species
UAGUCAUGCUUAACUUCAAAA